UACUCUCCAUCAAAUGGACAUUUCCUCAAAGAGGUUGAACUGAUGGCACAAUUUGAUCCAGUCAUGAAAGAGCACCUUAACCGUGUCCAAAAAGGGACCUCGAGUCACACCACCAGCUACCUUGGCCACCAAACACAGAAUUAACUCAUUGAUUUGUUGAGCAGCAAGGUCAUUUCAAUAAUGCCUCCAGACAGAGAUGGGCCAUCCUGAAAAAACAUGUGGACAUCACUUUGAAGAUGUGGACUGAGACGAGGUGGGAGAGUAAAGUUAAGAGUGUUUAGACACUGAGGUAUCAGGCAGCAGCGGUGAGAGAGGCACUGAGGUAUCAGGCAGCAGCGGUGAGAGAGGCACUGAGGUAUCAGGCAGCAGCGGUGAGAGAGGUACUGAGGUAUCAGGCAGCAGCGGUGAGAGAGGUACUGAGGUAUCAGGCAGCAGCGGUGAGAGAUGCACUGAUUGAGGUGAGGGAUUAAACCAAAGACCCUGUGAUAAAGAUUGUCCUUGUCAGAGGAGGUGGGAUCAUACCGCUUCAGCGUCUGUACAGUGGUGUGGUAUGACAUCUGGAGCCAGAUCCAACAUGUGAUCAAGCUGAUGUAGUCUCCCAGUAUGCAUGUGGAUGUUGCAGUCAGUCUUCUCAGAAAGACAGAGAGAGGUCUCAGCAACUACAGGGCAACACAAACGUCAGCCGAGGAUAUUUGCGAGGGUAUGAAUGUAGAGGCCGUUCUACAACAAAAAAGGCUGAGGUCCACAAUGCGGCACUUCAUACGAAUCAUUUGAUCAGAUCAAAUCAAACUUUAUUUGUCACAUGCGCCGAAUACAAAAAGUGUAGACUUUACUGUGAAAUGCUUACUUACAAGCCCUUAACCAACAGUGCAGUUCAAGAAGAGUUAAGAAAAUAUUUACCAAGUAGACUUAAAUAAAAAGUAAUAAUAAAAAGUAACACAAUAAGAAUAACAAUAACGAGGCUAUAUACAGAGGGCACCGGUACAGAGUCAAUGUGGAGGCUAUAUACAGGGGGUACCGGUACAGAGUCAGUGUGGAGGCUAUAUACAGGGUGUUACGGUACAGAGUCAGUGUGGAGGCUAUAUACAGAGGGCACCGGUACAGAGUCAGUGUGGAGGCUAUAUACAGGGUGUUACGGUACAGAGUCAAUGUGGAGGCUAUAUACAGGGGGCACCGGUACUGAGUCAGUGUGGAGGCUAUAUACAGGGUGUUACGGUACAGAGUCAAUGUGGAGGCUAUAUACAGGGGGUACCGGUACAGAGUCAGUGUGGAGGCUAUAUACAGGGGGGACGGGU
rnacentral:lncRNA from 1 species